UUUGUAUAAAUAGGCUGACGAGCUUCUACUUUGCAUCAGUUGAAUUUCAUUUCGGAAGUGAUAACAACUCCUGUAAAAAAAUGAUGAAGCCAGUUCUUUUCACCUUCCUUUUGGCUGCCCUCUUUGCCGCGUACUCCGCAUCACCAGUCGCUGACGCUGAAGCUGCACCAGCUCCUUGUUGGUGGUGGUGGCUGUUGUUGACCACUACAUCAACAACAACAACAACUACUACUACUACUACAACUACCACCACUACGACCACUACAACUACAACUACUACAACGACCUUACCUCCGUAGUUCCACCAACACGUGGAAGUUUAAAAAUGUUACUUACAUUCAAAAACUUGCAAUAAAAUCAAUCGUGUCUGGCACAGAAA